rnacentral:lncRNA from 1 species
UAAUCUGAAGCUGGCUGAUACCCAGAAUGACUCAUUUGUUAGCAAGGAGCCAUCAUAGAAACUCCACUUGGAAUUCCCUUUUCACCAGAUCACAUGUGAUUUUUGGAGUCUCAUUUGGAUGCUGUUUACUACAAAGAUCCAUGACAACUUUGUCACAUUUGCUUAACCUAGGAAUAGAUGAAAAGUUGCAGUUCAAAAAGGAAUAGGGCCGGGGGUUUAGCCCAGUGGUUCUGCCUCCUGCCUCACGAGCACAAAGUCCUGAGUUUGGUACCCCAAAAAAGGAAUGGAUGAAAAGUUGCAGUUCAAAUUCUGACAUAUUUUCUUUUCAAUUCUCUCCUCAUUUUGCUCCUCUUCCCGAAUAUGAAGACAAUGGUUAGGAAAGCUCACUGAAAGAACUACAAAACUAUACACUGAAAACAAGGUAUUCGCACGAUGAGAUAACACGCCUAUUUUCUUUCACUACCCUAAACCGGCAAAGCUCUGAUUAAGCCACCUGUACCCGAGGCUGGCGACUGAGCAGCAGAGAAACUGACCCGCGUCUCCAUGGCGACGCGUCAUAAAGCUGCAGUGCAGCCUGCUGGGCAAACUCAUGCUGGAACCGCAGCUCGGCUCAAGACUGUCUCUUCCGGGCAGGAUGCCGGUCGAGCCCAAGACUCCAUGCCCCUCUCAAUGUGACCGCAUGCUCCAACCAACAGGUGAUGCCAACUGGGAUUCCUAUGCUACCACAAUGAAGACGGCAUUCACAUAUAAAACAGGAGCAGUACCAGCUUUAAUUCGUCAAAAAAGUAUAAAAAGAUUAGGAUAUACAUACUCUCUUAGUGAUUCUACUCUUAAUCAGACCCAGUACAAUGAUGAAUAUAUUUGGAAAUCAUACUCUAAAGGAAAUUUGAUAAAAAAUGAGACUUCACGAGAAAUGAAGAGCUACAAAUCACAUCCCAAUCAAGGACUUCAAUGGACAUUACCUAAAGGGGAUUCAGUGAUGACACCAAGAAGCUGCCUCCCUUGGAAAAUUCCUGCUUCCAUGGAAGAAAUUCAGAAGGCAAUUGCAGAUCAGUUUAUUUCUUGUACUAAGAGAGACUUUCUGGACCACACCAAAGCUCAGGAGAUUAAGCAAAGUUCUCAGGUGUCCCUGGAAUGGAAAAAGUUCCUUCCCCGACCUCUAGACACUGAAUUUCGACAGAAUUAUCAAAUUCCAGCUAAAAUUCCAGAGUUGCAGGAUUUUAGUUUCAAAUAUGGAUGCUUCUCAAGACUGCCAAUUGCUUCUCAGGGUCUAGUCCCCUCCGUGCUGCACAGCUACAUGAGGAAUCAAGAACUCACGAAGCAGCAGACCAGAUACCAAAGUGACUACGGGAAAGCCUACCUGGACUUCUUAAUGAUCCUGAACUCAUUUACUCCCUCUCAAGUUAAUGAGUACCUUCAGAGUGUUUCCUACAAAGACAGACAAAUACUUGACCGCUUUAUCCGUUCUCACUGUGACAUCAACAAAGGGAAGAAAUGAAAAUAGUUCGGAUGAAGAAAACCUGAAGAUUAGUGGAAACACAAGUGUUUUAUCUAUUCAUUUUGUCAAUAAUCAAGGAUACAUAAGAUGCAAGUUGCUUCAGAUAUGUUGUGAUAGUCAUGAGUUUAUACAUUUCACUGUUUUAUUUUUAAACAAUAAAAUAUUUAAGCUUAUAAAUAUCCCCCUGAAU